rnacentral:tRNA from 1 species
GGCAGCGUGGCCGAGUGGUUAGGGCGCCGGACUUGAAAUCCGGAGGUCGCGGGUUCAAGCCCCGCUCUGACCA